rnacentral:rRNA from 1 species
ACGAACGCUGGCGGCGUGCUUAACACAUGCAAGUCGAACGAAAAGAGGGAAAGAGCUUGCUCUUUCCGGAAUUGAGUGGCAAACGGGUGAGUAACACGUAAACAACCUGCCUUCAGGAUGGGGACAACAGAAGGAAACGACUGCUAAUACCGAAUAAGUUCCAAGAGCCGCAUGGCCCAUGGAAGAAAAGGUGGCCUCUACCUGUAAGCUAUCGCCUGAAGAGGGGUUUGCGUCUGAUUAGCUGGUUGGAGGGGUAACGGCCCACCAAGGCGACGAUCAGUAGCCGGUCUGAGAGGAUGAACGGCCACACUGGAACUGAGACACGGUCCAGACUCCUACGGGAGGCAGCAGUGGGGAAUCUUCCGCAAUGGGCGAAAGCCUGACGGAGCAACGCCGCGUGAGUGAUGACGGCCUUCGGGUUGUAAAACUCUGUGAUCCGGGACGAAAAGGCAGAGUGCGAAGAACAAACUGCAUUGACGGUACCGGAAAAGCAAGCCACGGCUAACUACGUG